CCGCGUAUGGCAGAGACCUUUCCUCUCUGGCGCCGCUCCUGCACACCAUCGCUCGCUCGCAUUAAGCGAUUGCACAAAUAUGAGCCCCUCUUUCGCUACUCAAGCCCCUUUUCACAUUUAUUGUAAUCGCAUUUUUAGUUAAAUAUUUUCCGCAUUUAUUAUACAAGCGAGCGAGAAGA